GACGAACGCUGGCGGCGUGCUUAACACAUGCAAGUCGUACGGUAAGGCCCUUUCGGGGGUACACGAGUGGCGAACGGGUGAGUAACACGUGAGUAACCUGCCCACAACUUUGGGAUAACGCUAGGAAACUGGUGCUAAUACUGGAUAUGUGCCCCUGCUGCAUGGUGGGGGUUGGAAAGCUCCGGCGGUUGUGGAUGGACUCGCGGCCUAUCAGCUUGUUGGUGGGGUAGUGGCCUACCAAGGCGGCGACGGGUAGCCGGCCUGAGAGGGUGACCGGCCACAUUGGGACUGAGAUACGGCCCAGACUCCUACGGGAGGCAGCAGUGGGGAAUAUUGCACAAUGGGCGCAAGCCUGAUGCAGCAACGCCGCGUGCGGGAUGACGGCCUUCGGGUUGUAAACCGCUUUCAGCAGGGACGAAGCUUUUUGUGACGGUACCUGCAGAAGAAGCACCGGCUAACUAC
rnacentral:rRNA from 1 species